UGGGGAAUUUUGGACAAUGGGCGAAAGCCUGAUCCAGCAAUGCCGCGUGUGUGAAGAAGGCCUUCGGGUUGUAAAGCACUUUUUGUCCGGAAAGAAAUCCUUGGCUCUAAUACAGUCGGGGGAUGACGGUACCGGAAGAAUAAGCACCGGCUAACUACGUGCCAGCAGCCGCGGUAAUACGUAGGGUGCAAGCGUUAAUCGGAAUUACUGGGCGUAAAAGCGUGCGCAGGCGGUUUGCUAAAGACCGAUGUGAAAAUCCCCGGGCUCAACCUGGGAACUGCAUUGGUGACUGGCAGGCUAGAGUAUGGCAGAGGGGGGUAGAAUUCCACGUGUAGCAAGUGAAAAUGCGUAGAGAUGUGGAGGAAUACCGAUGGCGAAGGCAGCCCCCUGGGCCAAUACUGACGCUCAUGCACGAAAAGCG
rnacentral:rRNA from 1 species